GUCGAGCGGAUGAGAGGAGCUUGCUCUUCGAUUCAGCGGCGGACGGGUGAGUAAUGCCUAGGAAUCUGCCUAGUAGUGGGGGACAACGUUUCGAAAGGAACGCUAAUACCGCAUACGUCCUACGGGAGAAAGUGGGGGAUCUUCGGACCUCACGCUAUUAGAUGAGCCUAGGUCGGAUUAGCUAGUUGGUAGGGUAAAGGCCUACCAAGGCGACGAUCCGUAACUGGUCUGAGAGGAUGAUCAGUCACACUGGAACUGAGACACGGUCCAGACUCCUACGGGAGGCAGCAGUGGGGAAUAUUGGACAAUGGGCGAAAGCCUGAUCCAGCCAUGCCGCGUGUGUGAAGAAGGCCUUCGGGUCGUAAAGCACUUUAAGUUGGGAGGAAGGGCUUACAGCGAAUACCUGUGAGUUUUGACGUUACCGACAGAAUAAGCACCGGCUAACUUCGUGCCAGCAGCCGCGGUAAUACGAAGGGUGCAAGCGUUAAUCGGAAUUACUGGGCGUAAAGCGCGCGUAGGUGGCUUGAU
rnacentral:rRNA from 1 species